UAACGCGAAGAACCUUACCCACCUUUGACAUGUACGGAAUUUGCCAGAGAUGGCUUAGUGCUCGAAAGAGAACCGUAACACAGGUGCUGCAUGGCUGUCGUCAGCUCGUGUCGUGAGAUGUUGGGUUAAGUCCCGCAACGAGCGCAACCCUUGUCAUUAGUUGCUACAUUCAGUUGGGCACUCUAAUGAGACUGCCGGUGACAAACCGGAGGAAGGUGGGGAUGACGUCAAGUCCUCAUGGCCCUUAUAGGUGGGGCUACACACGUCAUACAAUGGCUGGUACAAAGGGUUGCCAACCCGCGAGGGGGAGCUAAUCCCAUAAAACCAGUCGUAGUCCGGAUCGCAGUCUGCAACUCGACUGCGUGAAGUCGGAAUCGCUAGUAAUCGUGGAUCAGAAUGUCACGGUGAAUACGUUCCCGGGCCUUGUACACACCG
rnacentral:rRNA from 1 species